CCUGGUCUUCUUCAGUGUCACACUCCGCGUAUUUGACAAGCUGAAUUGGACACUCCAUGUGGUAGAGUGUCAGUUUGUCAAAUACCCCAAGUGCGGCAUAUGUCUAACAG
rnacentral:pre_miRNA from 1 species